rnacentral:misc_RNA from 1 species
AACGCACGAGACCUGCGGACCUGCGGAGGGAUCAUUACCGAGUGUUGGUUUUUUCCUAAAAAACCGCCUCCCGUCCUGUGCCUCUAAAAAUUGAUUUGUUUCGGUGGGGGUACCCGCCGAAAAUUAGUUACAACCCACUAAAAAUUAGUGAGUCAGAGUCAAUUGCAAAAAGAUAAAAAAACUUUUAACAAUGGAUCUCU